GGUCUCUUUGUGCACCCGCCCACACGGUUUGCCGUGUUUUCACCCUUCUUUGUUCUCCACCGGUCUGGGCAGGGUCUGAGGACUCCGGAGAGCAAGGCAUGGGUCCGCCUCGUGCCGCAGGGAUUUGAGGACACACGCCAGCUGCCUACACCUGAAGAAAGGGCUUUGCUGCUACGCACUGACAAGUUGGACGGCUUUUUAUUGCUUUGUUGCCAGUUAUCUGAACAUGAGAGGCUGUAAGGUGUAAUCUGCGAGCCCUGCGCCCAGACUGAACCAGGGCCUCCCUUGAACAUGAGUAUUAGACAAAUGAAAUAAGAACUUAUCUUGCCCAGACUAUAUAAUGGCUUGGAAAUGCAUAGUUUCCUGAACGAUCUCAAUAAAAUACUUUUAAAAGUACUUAAA
rnacentral:lncRNA from 1 species